rnacentral:rRNA from 1 species
AGAGGGUGCAAGCGUUGUUCGGAAUUAUUGGGCGUAAAGCGCGUGUAGGCGGCUUUGCAAGUCGGGUGUGAAAGCCCUCGGCUCAACCGAGGAAGUGCGCCCGAAACUGCAGAGCUUGAGUACCGGAGAGGAUGGCGGAAUUCCCCAAGUAGAGGUGAAAUUCGUAGAUAUGGGGAGGAACACCGGUGGCGAAGGCGGCCAUCUGGACGGAUACUGACGCUGAGACGCGAAAGCGUGGGGAGCAAACAGGAUUAGAUACCCUGGUAGUCCACGCCGUAAACGAUGAGAACUAGGUGUCGUGGGUGUUGACCCCCGCGGUGCCGUAGCCAACGCAUUAAGUUCUCCGCCUGGGAAGUACGGCCGCAAGGCUA